rnacentral:lncRNA from 1 species
UGAUUAGGUAUUAUAAUUAAAAGUUUGUGAUGAUCAUCGAUAUUAUGAAGUAUGCUUAGAUUAUUAUGUCAAUUAUGCUUGCUGACUACAAUGACAAUAGAAUGUUGCACUUCGUAAACCUACAUGAUUUACAUUACCAGAGAUGACCUUAUUGCAAAGUUAGUCACCCUAUUUCAGACAUAGGACGUUCACUGCUGAACAUAUGGGGAGUUCCCCCAUGAUGUCCAAAUGGACCGGUCGAUAGUGGCUUGCUAUCAGCGAAUAAACUAGCAGUCACUUAAAAAAAUGAUUUUGAGACACAGAAAUGGAUUAUUUAUUGUACGAUGAUUAACAUGUGUACGAUUGUCAUUUUUUAUUUUAUGAAUAUGCGAUUUCAAAAUAGCCCAUCCCUCAUAACCAGAAAAAUAAUGCAACCAAACAAUUUAUCUCUUCUCAGCAUCUAAUGGAUGUUAAAGUGUGACAAACUCAAGGCAUUGUACGCUGGAGUGCACUUCCAAGUGCCUGGCAGAACUGACGGCAGAUUACUAGACAAACGUGUUUUUAAAAUGCAUUGUCAUGAUUUGUCUUAGCUCAGACGGACGGCAGUAAUGAUAAAUAUGGAAAGGAACAUCACUAUUGUUUAAGGCGAAGAGUGUAGCUAUGGCAUACACAUGUUAUAGUUGUAAAUUUAUAAAAUAGUUUGUGUAGGAAUAAAUAAAUGGGUAGUGGUCUUAUUUGAAUUUUUGUUUGAUCCUUUGGUGUUUGUUCCCGUGGGUACUACUGCCCGUACCGGGAUAAAAUAUAGCCUAUGGCACUCAGGAAUAUUAUAGCUAUCUAUCAGUGAAAGAAUUUUGCAAAUCCGACCAGCGGUUCCAAAGAUUACCCCCUACAUACAAAAUUACAAAUUUUACCUCGUUAUAAAAUUAGUAUAGAUUAUACAUACAUAAUUAUGUGCAUAUAUUGUUCACAUUUAAACGGAUUUCCUACUAUGUAACGUUGUACUUUCCUAGCUCUAAGAAUAGGUUAGAAAUUAAAAAAAAAUACAAAUAAUUACAAAAAUAAAAUACAAAAUUAAAAAAACACCUAAAGUAAACUAAAAUAAAUGAAAUAAAAAAAAUUAUAAUAUAUUAAAAUUAACAUAAUUCAUAUACGGAACCCAAUAUUAAUUAUUUACACAAAGGUCCUCGUAACUAUUGCGCCUACGCAUCUCUAAACGGGUGAACUGGUUUCGCUGCGCGCGACGGUGGUGCCUCGAGUGCAUUCGGGCCGGAGACGCGGCAGACGACCAAAUUGCAUCAGACGUGACGGCUGUGUCACACGUUUUUUUUACUUGACCUUCAGUAUUGCGUACCUGUCUAAUUUCACCUUAUUUGUGCUAGACAAAUUAUAAUCGGAAAUCCCGCUGGGGAUUUAUUUCUACGUUGGAUUUCUACGUUGGAUUUUCUACGUUCGAGUUUUUACAUUCUACUUUAAACCCUCGCUACGCAACGUUCUACCUGGCGGCGAGUGAAAGACCAGACCUGAUCCUGUCUGGAACUACCUGGGUCCUGCUGGAGACCUGGAAGUGCAACCUGGGAAGGAGCUGGGCCGUCGUCGGAGCUACACCACGGUUCAGGCCAGUGUUCCCAGUGUACCUUCUACCUCGAGAUCUAUUCGUGGUUAGGGCAACAGAAGUUGGCUUAAAUAAAGUCUCAAUUUCUACCAAA